rnacentral:rRNA from 1 species
CAGUAGCCGCGGUAAUACGGAGGGCGCGAGCGUUACCCGGAUUUACUGGGCGUAAAGGGCGUGUAGGCGGCCUGGGGCGUCCCAUGUGAAAGGCCACGGCUCAACCGUGGAGGAGCGUGGGAUACGCUCAGGCUAGAGGGUGGGAGAGGGUGGUGGAAUUCCCGGAGUAGCGGUGAAAUGCGCAGAUACCGGGAGGAACGCCGAUGGCGAAGGCAGCCACCUGGUCCACUACUGACGCUGAGGCGCGAAAGCGUGGGGAGCAAACCGGAUUAGAUACCCCUGUAGUCCCUGUCUCUUAUAC